GACGAACGCUGGCGGGGUGCUUAAUAAAGGCAGGUCGACGGGAGGGACCGGUGCCUGGCCCGGUUAAUUCAGUGGGGAAAGGGGGGGUUAACCGGUGGGUACCCGCCUAAUAGAGGGGGGUAAAAUUCGGAAAAGGGAUGCUAAAACGGAAUGGGUCUUGGAGCGGCAGGGUUGGAGGGGGAAAGGAGGGGCAGGCUUCGCCGGUGGGUGGAACCGCGGUGCAUUAGCUAGUUGGUGAGGUAACGGCUCACCAAGGCCGUGAUGCAUAGCCGACCUGAGAGGGUGAUCGGCCACAUUGGGACUGAGACACGGCCCAAACUCCUACGGGAGGCAGCAGUAGGGAAUCUUCCGCAAUGGACGCAAGUCUGACGGAGCAACGCCGCGUGAGUGAAGAAGGUUUUCGGAUCGUAAAACUCUGUUGUUAGAGAAGAACAAGUGCUAGAGUAACUGUUAGCGCCUUGACGGUAUCUAACCAGAAAGCCACGGCUAACUACGUG
rnacentral:rRNA from 1 species